rnacentral:lncRNA from 1 species
AUAUAUUUUUUUUUUGGUAAAAUAACUUUAUCCUCUGUCAGAACACAAACCAACACUCUUUGGGAGGGAAAGGGAGGCAGCAGUCCAGUCCGGGGCCCACAUACAAGGAGUGGGGUGGGAUUCAAGGGCCUCAGCCUGCUGCUCGACCCACUGGGAUAGAGUCACAACCCUUAUACCCACGUAUAAAUAUCUUGUUAUAUAAAAAAAAAAAUAUUUCCAGGGCCUACCUGGCUCUGCUCCUUCACAGAAAGGGUUAAUUUUCAUUUUGUGACAUCACAGAUCACAAAGAGGGGUAGCAGGAAGAGGCAGAUAUUGGGGGGCAGAAAAUGGGACAAGUCAAUGUGUAAUUAGGGCCCCCCAAAUAUCCAGCAGAGUGGGGGGACCUGGGUGUUGUUCACUCCUGUCCCCAUCCCUGAUGUGCUGCCGGCCUCCCUUCUUGCUAGAGGACAGUCCCCGUCCUCAGGUCUCUGAGGUCAGCCCCUUCCACCACAGCCCCCGCCCCAGAUGAGAAGCUUCGGGAGCUGCAGGGUCCUCUUGUGCGGAGGACGUUCCGGGGGCAGGCCAGUUGUUGGGUCGCCCUUCAGUCCCUGACCAGGCGGUAAACACGGUGCUGGGCCCCACGCUCACCGGUGGAGACCUCGAAGACGUAGCCGGUGCACAGCCGCAGUUCCUGGGUGUCUCUGUUCGUCACCACCUGCAGGAUGGUGAAGUUCUCCAGGACGCUGCUCAUCAUGUAACGCUCGGGCAGCUGCCGAAGCUUGUGCAGGAAAUUCACCAGGCACUCGCACAUGGGCGAACGCAGCAGGCGGUUCGCGAACCACCCGUCCUCUAGCUGGGCCCGCUCGUACUGGCUGCUCACUCAUAGAAGCCACCGCUACCACUGCUGCCACUGCCAGCACCUGUCUCCUCACCGCUUGGGCCCCAGUUCAGGCCACUCCAGAACUCGACCAGGAAAAAGGCCUGCGGGGGCCGCGACCGUACAGCUCCCGCAGACCGCCCUUUUUCUCGGGGGAUUUGUCGUAGAUCUGCCGGACGUCCUCGCUCUCCAGGUGGGGUGCGCCAGGGCUGGGACAGUGCUGGCUGAUGUGGACGAACAGGUGCCUCUGAUCCUGUCUGCAAGUUAUUCAUACAAAUAUUACAACCAGGGAUUGUACACUGCUCAGUAA